rnacentral:rRNA from 1 species
GCCGAAUGGAGUAUAUACCCCUGUGUUCUCCGCCAGCUGACGGGUCGUAGCCGCGCCUUGUGGGAUCUGCGCAGUCGUGCCCUGUGUAAGGUGAGAGGCUUGCUGCCUGAAGAUGAGCUCGCGGCCGAUGUAGCUAGUAGGUGGGGUAAGAGCCUAACUAGGCGACGAUCGGUAGCUGGUCUAAGAGGAUGAACAGCCACACUGGCACUGGACACGGCCCAGACUCCUACGGGAGGCAGCAGUGGGGAAUAAUCCGCAAUGGGCGAAAGCCUGACGAGCAAUACUGCGUGAGGAGGAAGAUCUUGAGUUGGAGCCUCUGUUCUCGGGGGAGAGGCGGGGAACGUACGGGAGUAG